rnacentral:misc_RNA from 1 species
CAAGAAGCCGAGAGGCUACUUCAAACCAUCGCGAACCCGUCCAAGUUGCUUCGGCGGCGCGGCAUCCCGUCACCGGGGCGCCGCAGCCCGGCCUCUCCGGAGGUGCGGGGCGCCCGCCGGAGGUACGAAACUCUGUAUUAUAGUGGCAUCUCUGAGUAAAAAGCAAAUAAGUUA